rnacentral:rRNA from 1 species
UACAUGGGGUGCAAACGUUGCUCGGAAUUAUUGGGCGUAAAGCGCACGUAGGCGGUUUGUUAAGUCGGAUGUGAAAGCCCUCGGCUCAACCGAGGAAGUGCGUUCGAAACUGCAGAGCUUGAGUGCCGGAGAGGGUGGCGGAAUUCCCCCAAGUAGAGGUGAAAUUCGUAGAUAUGGGGAGGAACACCGGUGGCGAAGGCGGCCACCUGGACGGUCACUGACGCUGAGCACGCGAAAGCGUGGGUAGCAAACAGG